GAUGAACGCUGGCGGCGUGCCUAAUACAUGCAAGUCGAGCGAAUGGAUUAAGAGCUUGCUCUUAUGAAGUUAGCGGCGGACGGGUGAGUAACACGUGGGUAACCUGCUCAUAAGACUGGGAUAACUCCGGGAAACCGGGGCUAAUACCGGAUAACAUUUUGAACCGCAUGGUUCGAAAUUGAAAGGCGGCUUCGGCUGUCACUUAUGGAUGGACGCGCGUGGCAUUAGCUAGUUGGUGAGGUAACGGCUCACGAAGGCAACGAUGCGUAGCCGACCUGAGAGGGUGAUCGGCCACACUGGGACUGCGACACGGCCCAGACUCCGACGGGAGGCAGCAGUAGGGAAUCUUCCGCAAUGGACGAAAGUCUGACGGAGCAACGCCGCGUGAGUGAUGAAGGCUUUCGGGUCGUAAAACUCUGUUGUUAGGGAAGAACAAGUGCUAGUUGAAUAAGCUGACACCUUGACGGUACCUAACCAGAAAGCCACGGCUAACUACGUGCCAGCCGCCGCAGUAA
rnacentral:rRNA from 1 species